rnacentral:rRNA from 1 species
UACGGGGGGGGCAAGCGUUGUUCGGAAUUACUGGGCGUAAAGCGCACGUAGGCGGAUUUGUAAGUCAGGGGUGAAAUCCCGGGGCUCAACCUCGGAACUGCCUUUGAUACUGCAAAUCUCGAGUCCGGAAGAGGUGAGUGGAAUUCCUAGUGUAGAGGUGAAAUUCGUAGAUAUUAGGAAGAACACCAGUGGCGAAGGCGGCUCACUGGUCCGGUACUGACGCUGAGGUGCGAAAGCGUGGGGAGCAAACAGGG